rnacentral:rRNA from 1 species
AACGAACGCUGGCGGCAGGCCUAACACAUGCAAGUCGAGCGAGACCUUCGGGUCUAGCGGCGGACGGGUUAGUAACGCGUGGGAACGUGCCCUUCUCUGCGGAAUAGCCACUGGAAACGGUGAGUAAUACCGCAUACGCCCUUCGGGGGAAAGAUUUAUCGGAGAAGGAUCGGCCGCGUUAGAUUAGAUAGUUGGUGGGUAACGGCCUACCAAGUCUACGAUCUAUAGCUGGUUUUAGAGGAUGAUCAGCAACACUGGGACUGAGACACGGCCCAGACUCCUACGGGAGGCAGCAGUGGGGAAUCUUAGACAAUGGGCGCAAGCCUGAUCUAGCCAUGCCGCGUGUGUGAUGAAGGUCUUAGGAUCGUAAAGCACUUUCGCCAGGGAUGAUAAUGACAGUACCUGGUAAAGAAACCCCGGCUAACUCCGUG